rnacentral:miRNA from 1 species
GGGCCAUGGGGAAGAGGCCCGGCC